rnacentral:SRP_RNA from 1 species
UAAUGAACGUGGUACAGCAAGCACGUACACAACCUGGUCAGAUCCGGAAGGAAGCAGCCAUACAUGCCUCUACUUGCGUGUACCACUUUUAAAUUAU